GAAGGAGAGACAAAUUAAGUAGUUUAAAGGGAGCAGAGAUGGAAAGAAAGAAGAUGAGAGAGAAGUUAAGAGAGAGAUGAUGUAGGUAAAGGAUUAGUUAUGUCCCGUGACGCCCAUGAAACCCUUAGCACUGACCACACUCUCAUAAUCAGUAACAAUACUGGUAUUGACCCUCACGAGAAGCAGAAACGACACCUACGAUGUCAUCAAACCACAGCACAUCUGUUUCUACACCUUCUAAACCUGAACAUGUCCAUCCUGCCAUGUUCCCCUAGGGGGCGGUCAAGUUCAGCAGUAGCAUUGGGAUUAAAUGUAAGGUGACUUUACCACAGGGAUACCAGUUACUAGUUAGCAACAUGAGUUGUGACUUUACCACAGGGAUACCAGUUACUAGUUAGCAACAUGAGUUGUGACUUUACCACAGGGAUACCAGUUACUAGUUAGAAACAUGAGUCGUGACUUUACCACAAGGAUACCAGUUACUAGUUAGCAACAUGAGUCGUGACUUUACCACAAGGAUACCAGUUACUAGUUAGCAACAUGAGUCGUGACUUUACCACAGGGAUACCAGUUACUAGUUAGAAACAUGAGUCGUGACUUUACCACAAGGAUACCAGUUACUAGUUAGCAACAUGAGUCGUGACUUUACCACAGGGAUACCAGUUACUAGUUAGAAACAUGAGUCGUGACUUUACCACAAGGAUACCAGUUACUAGUUAGAAACAUGAGUCGUGACUUUACCACAAGGAUACCAGUUACUAGUUAGCAACAUGAGUCGUGACUUUACCACAAGGAUACCAGUUACUAGUUAGCAACAUGAGUCGUGACUUUACCACAAGGAUACCAGUUACUAGUUAGCAACAUGAGUCGUGACUUUACCACAAGGAUACCAGUUACUAGUUAGCAACAUGAGUCGUGACUUUACCACAGGGAUACCAGUUACUAGUUAGUAGUAAUACUUCUCUCUCUCCCUCCUGCCAGUGUGUUAAAGGGAAAACAAAUAACGUCACACAAACAUUUAACCAAAAAUACAUUUAAUGUAUUUAUCCUUUCUGAUAUGUAUAUUUAUUAUAUUGUAUCAACGCAGCAUAAGGGAUAUUUUAUAUUAUAACCCUUGUAGCUUAACUCACACAGGUCUUAUUAUCCACCUUCAGCCCUGUUUAUACUUGGUUCUAACAUGCGUCCUUUGUCCUGAUCUUGGCCACAUUCUGAUUGUGAUUAGCUCUUCCUGACCACUUCCAGAGGUAGUCAAAGAUGCAUCCAGUACGGAUACGGCCUUGAAGUGUCAACGUAUCCUGACGACGAAAGCGUAUACAUUCGGUCCUCUCAAAUAAAUCACACCGGCCAGUUGAGGUAGUAAUGCCGCAUUCAAAACAACUGGGAACUCGGAAUUCGGGAACUUGGAUAUCGCCGGCGUCCGACGUCAGUGCGUUCAAGACAACUUGGAGCUACAACUGGGAAAAAAUUGUUUCGCACGGUCAUCCAACUCGGAAUUCCAAGUUGGAAACUCGGUCAUCUUUCUAGAGCUCUGACUUUCCGACCUGAAGAUCACUGACGUCAUUAUUUGACCUUGGUUUUUUUCCAGUUCCCAGUUGUCUUGAAAGCACCACAAUUAUGGACAACGAUACCGCUACAAUUCAUACAGAAAUAAGAUCUUGGUCUUCAUUAAAAACCGGACGAACCCAGAUCUGGAUGGGAACGGAAGAACGUGGUGUCCAGUUGAUUCAGAUCUGGAUGGGAUCGGAAGAACCCGGUGUCCAGUUGAUUCAGAUCUGGAUGGGAUCGGAAGAACCCGGUGUCCAGUUGAUUCAGAUCUGGAUGGGAUCGGAAGAACCCGGUGUCCAGUUGAUUCAGAUCUGGAUGGGAUCGGAAGAACCCGGUGUCCAGUUGAUUCAGAUCUGGAUGGGAACGGAAGAACCCAGUGUCCAGUUGAUUCAGAUCUGGAUGGGAUCGGAAGAACCCAGUGUCCAGUUGAUUCAGAUCUGGAUGGGAACGGAAGAACCCAGUGUCCAGUUGAUUCAGAUCUAGAUGGGAUCGGAAGAACCCGGUGUCCAGUUGAUUCAGAUCUGGAUGGGAUCGGAAGAACCCGGUGUCCAGUUGAUUCAGAUCUGGAUGGGAUCGGAAGAACCCGGUGUCCAGUUGAUUCAGAUCUGGAUGGGAACGGAAGAACCCGGUGUCCAGUUGAUUCAGAUCUGGAUGCGGUAUUGGGUGACCAUCCCACACCCGCCCACCAUUCAUUCUGGACAGUGCUGUGGUAAUAUCAAGGGAAAGCUGCUGUGAAUAGUUUAUAUAUCACAUAAGAAAAUUAUGCAGUGGUAUUAUAAAAAAGUGGGUUGUCUAUGUAAGAGUUAGGCCUCCACAUUAUACCUUGAUAUAAAGGUACAGGGGAACAUUAGAUCUCUACAUUAUACCUUGAUCUUAAGGUACAGGGGAACAUUAGAUCUCUACAUUAUACCUUGUCGUGAACUGCUCUCUCCUGUUGCAACUCAAUCAUAGUCCAUCUCAUGCAUCCCCAAUACAUUUUCAGUUCAGUUUAAAUUCUGUAAUGCUGUUAUAUCAGUCGAUCAACCCUCGAUGAGUGAAAGAGACUCUGUUACUGAAGUAUAACUAAUCAAUGAUUUGGAACAAACCAAAGCCAUGGUCGUUCUCCC